CAGUCGCCACGGUAAUACGUAGGUGGCAAGCGUUGUCCGGAAUUAUUGGGCGUAAAGGGCUCGCAGGCGGUUUCUUAAGUCUAAUGUGAAAGCCCCCGGCUCAACCGGGGAGGGUCAUUGGAAACUGGGAAACUUGAGUGCAGAAGAGGAGAGUGGAAUUCCACGUGUAGCGGUGAAAUGCGUAGAGAUGUGGAGGGACACCAGUGGCGAAGGCGACUCUCUGGUCUGUAACUGACGCUGAGGAGCGAAAGCGUGGGGAGCGAACAGGAUUAGAUACCCCUGUAGUCCCUGUCUCUUAUAC
rnacentral:rRNA from 1 species